rnacentral:rRNA from 1 species
GAUUAGGAGACGUUGAAUACAAAACACCACCAUCGGCGCGGUCGUCCUUGGCGUCGGUCCUUCACGGCCCCCGCGCGAACGCCUCUUACCCCGGGGGCCCCGGAAAGAGACUCC